AGUGGGAUAGCUAGGUCAAAUGGUGGUUCCAGUCCAAAUUUUCUAAGGAAUCUCCAUACUGCUUUCCGGAGUGGUUGCACCAAUUGUGCUGUCCCACCAGCAAU
rnacentral:pre_miRNA from 1 species